AAAAGCAGGGGACCGCAAGGGCCUUGCGCGAUUGGAGCGGCCGAUGUCCGAUUAGCUAGUUGGUGGGGUAAAGGCCUACCAAGGCGACGAUCGGUAGCUGGUCUGAGAGGAUGAUCAGCCACACUGGGACUGAGACACGGCCCAGACUCCUACGGGAGGCAGCAGUGGGGAAUUUUGGACAAUGGGGGCAACCCUGAUCCAGCCAUGCCGCGUGAGUGAAGAAGGCCUUCGGGUUGUAAAGCUCUUUCGGUGGGAACGAAACGGUGCUGGCUAACACCCUGCACUACUGACGGUACUCACAGAAGAAG
rnacentral:rRNA from 1 species